rnacentral:miRNA from 1 species
UCCGAGAGCUGCUAUCUGAGAGA